CCCCCCGCGCUUAGAACAGUGCUCGGCACAUAGUGAGCGCUUAACGGAUACCGACAUUAUUAAUUCUUCCCAUUUCCGAGGCACGUUGGACUGAAGGGAGAAACGGCCCUGGCGGAAGUCGCGACGAUCUCCAAGGCUGGAUUGUGGGUGGCUCAUUUUCAGAAAAGUAUUUGGAACAUACGAGGGAAAGGCACGCCCCGAAGAAGGGAAAUGUAAAAUCGAGGUUCUUAUAAACGUUCAGAAAGCGGCCACUUUUACAUUUAAGUGGGUGAAAAGUCGUCCUAUUGAAAUUGGAUUCUUUCGACGAUCUUAGCGAAAGCGGAGCCCACGGUGAAGAUAUUUUGGGAGCGCUUAUUGUGUGCAGGGGACUGUGCUAAGCACUAGGGAGACUACAACACGACAAUAUACUAGCCACAAAACGGCGCGUUUUUAAAUCGCUUAGUCCGGCGCUCGACACACGAUGAGGUCACUGAGGCCCAGAGAAGUGAAG